rnacentral:rRNA from 1 species
AGUGAACGCUGGCGGUAGGCCUAACACAUGCAAGUCGAACGGCAGCACAGUAAGAGCUUGCUCUUACGGGUGGCGAGUGGCGGACGGGUGAGGAAUACAUCGGAAUCUACUUUUUCGUGGGGGAUAACGUAGGGAAACUUACGCUAAUACCGCAUACGACCUACGGGUGAAAGCAGUGGAUCUUCGGACCUUGCGCGAUUGAAUGAGCCGAUGUCGGUUUAGCUAGUUGGAGGGGUAAAGGCCCACCAAGGCGACGCUCCGUAGCUGGUCUGAGAGGAUGAUCAGCCAACCUGGAACUGAGAAAGGGGCCAGAUCCCUAGGGGAGGCAGAGGUGGGGAAUAUUGGACAAUGGGGGCAAGCCUGAUCCAGCCAUACCGGGGGGGUGAAGAAGGCCUUCGGGUUGUAAAGCCCUUUUGUUGGGAAAGAAAAGCAGCAGGUUAAUACCCCGCUGUUCUGACGGUACCCAAAGAAUAAGCACCGGCUAACUUCGU